AUGGGAACCGGCCAUCAUCUCUUUGAGACCUUUUCAAGUCUCUUCGGUAUGGAUUCGGUGUAGGGAUUCCUGCUUGUGCUCUUUCUUUGUGGCAUUCUCGGGCUUAAAGACCAGGCACUCUAUAUGUGUUUCGGUAUUGAUCUGAGCACUCGUGUAACUACUAAUAAAGCUCAAGGGACCUUUCUUUCGGCUACCGGUUUGACUUAUCUUGGUCAGGUCUAA